GUGAAAACUGACGGGAGAAGAGAAGAAAAGGGGAGGAAGAAGAAGAGAAAAGAGGGAAAGAUAAGGAAAGGAGAAGAGAAUUGGAGGAAAUAAGUUUAAAGGUUCUCCUAACGAUCCUCAAUAGGUUUUACGGGUCUUUCAUCUGACAUUCCUUUUAGUUCUAUAUUUUCCGGGUUCUUAGUUUCUGAUAGCAGGUGAACCUUGUUGAGUGUUCCUGCUUCUUCAGUUUUGGGUUGGUAUGCCUUGCUUAUCUUUCAAGGCUAUUUGAUUCGAUGUCUUAAGCGCUCCACUAUUACCUUGUUUUAAUUAGGUUUGGAUUUUUGACAAUGCAAUGAGUAUUAUGGAUUAUUGUUUUUGUUUUAAUUACUGAUGAGGAGUUUUAAACUAUCUUUUGGUUUCAUCAGUUUUGAAUAAUAUAAUAUUUCUAAAGAUUAUGAAAUGCUGCGUAUUUUUGAAUAAAUUAUUCUUUUGAUAUGUCCGUUUUGAGGCUUAGCGCAGGCGGGGUGUCCUUCCGGCACCGCUCCUGUGUUGCCGGUCAUGGACCCGGGAUUCGGGUCGUGACAAAGGUGGUAUCAGAGCCCGGUUUUUAUUAAAACC